rnacentral:rRNA from 1 species
GAUCCUGGCUCAGGACGAACGCUGGCGGCGUGCCUAACACAUGCAAGUCGAACGGGAGAUGUUUAUUUCGGUAGAUAUCUUAGUGGCGCACGGGUGAGUAACGCGUGAAUAACCUGACCCGAAGAGGGGGAUAACACCUGGAAACAAGUGCUAAUACCGCAUAAGACCACGGACCGGCAUCGGUCAGAGGUCAAAGGAGGAAUCCGCUUUGGGAGGGUUUCGCGUCCCAUUAGGUAGUUGGGUGAGGUAACGGCCCACCAAGCCG